AUAAAAAUUUUAUGAUUUAAAAAAUUUAUUAUAAGUUUAUUUUACAUAUAAAUUUUUGUGUUAAUUUUUGAUUAUUUAAAUAAUAAUUAAUUAAUUAAGUAGUAAUUAAUAUUAAAAAUUUAAGAAAUUAAGAUUUAGUAAUAUUAAAAUUAUUAACAAAUUUUGUGCCAGCAGUUGCGGUUAUACAAAAAUUAAAUUAAAUUUUUUUGGAAAUUAAUAAAUAAAAAUUAAUUAAAUUAAAAAAAAAUAAUUAUUAAGUGAAAUUUUAAUUUUAAAAAAUUUAAUUUAAAAUGUUUAUGAGAUUAAUAAAUUUAAUAAAAAACUAGGAUUAGAUACCCUAUUAUUUUAAAAUUAAAAUAUUUUCUAAAAUAGUAUAUAAUUAUUUAUUGAAACUUAAAUGAUUUGGCGGUAUUUUAGUUUAUUUAGAGGAAUCUGUUUAUUAAUUGAUAAUCCACGAUUAAAUUUACUUAAUUUAUUAUUUUGUAUAUCGUUGUUAAAAAAAUAUUUUUUAAUAAAAAUAAUAUUUAAAAAUUGAAAUUAAAAAUUAAAUCAGAUCAAGAUGCAGAUUAUAAUUAAGAAUAUAAUGGAUUACAAUAAAUUUAUUUAAAUGAAUAUUAAUUUGUAAAAAUUAAUUGAAAGUGGAUUUAAAUGUAAUUUUAUUUAAUAUGAUAAAAUGAUUAAAAAUUAAAAUAUGUACAUAUUGCCCGUCACUUUCAUAUAUAAGUUGGAAUAAGUCGUAACAAAGUAGAGGUACUGGAAAGUGUUUCUAGAAAGAA
rnacentral:ncRNA from 1 species